AUGCGGAGGCUUAGGGUUCAGCUCCCAUGCCCAUGGCGGCUCCCCGACCCCCACCGCCUCCUCCGCCUCUCCCGCCGCCUCCACGCCUCCGCCGGCUCCGGCUCCGGCGCCGGCGCCGCCCAAGGCAAGUUCCUUCUGCCGGGCGCCUCGGCGGCGGUCCUUCUCAUGCUCGGCGUUCUGCACGCCAAGCGGAUGUACGAUGACAAACAGCUUGUCGAAAGGAAGGAGCAGGGAAUCGAGCCCGAAUUCUCGCCAGACCUGAAGGCUUCGUUUCUGAGGCUUCUACCACUGCGUUCGAUGUCACGUGUCUGGGGAUCCUUGAUGGAAGUGGAGGUUCCGGUGUUCAUGCGUCCUGCUAUCUACAAAGCAUGGGCCAGAGCAUUUCACUCAAAUUUGCAAGAACCUGCUCUGCCCCUGGAAGAAUAUCCUUCUUUACAGGCAUUCUUCAUCCGCAGUCUCAAAGAAGGAUCAAGGCCUAUCGAUCCAGAUCCAAACUGCCUGGUGAGUCCUGUCGAUGGGAAAGUUUUGCGGCUUGGACAGCUCAGGGGUCCAGGAACCAUGAUUGAGCAAGUCAAAGGCUUUUCUUAUCCUGUUUCUUCUCUUCUUGGUGCUAGUUCAUCGCUUCAUGAUGCCACAGAAGAAGAUAUUUCUGGAGAGCAAACAGAACAAAAUGUGCCUGAGAGCUCGAAUGCAAAAUCAUGGUGGCGAGUAUCUGUGGCUUCACCUAAACUACGGGAUCGAACACUGCUGAGCCCGAAGAGGGGGAUCUUUUAUUGUGUCCUGUAUUUACACCCUGGUGAUUAUCAUCGAGUACACUCUCCUGUUGAUUGGAGUAUUUUCAAACGUCGACAUUUCUCAGGCAAUCUUUUCCCAACAAAUGAACGUGCCGUGCGGACUAUCAGAAACCUAUAUGUCGAGAAUGAAAGGGUGGUACUCGAAGGUCAAUGGAAAGAAGGGUUUGUUGCAAUUGCAGCCGUUGGUGCUACUAAUGUUGGCUCCAUCAAACUGCUCAUUGAACCGGAUCUGAGGACAAACAAUCCAGGGUCCAUGGCACUUCACUCCCAGUCUUACGAUGAGCGCGUUUAUGAACCUGAAGGCACCGGCAUGAUGGUUAAAAAGGGUCAAGAGAUAGCAGGAUUCAACAUGGGAUCGACCGUGGUCGUCGUAUUUGAAGCGCCUCUGUCCAAGGCGAGGGAGGACGGGACGGUCUCUUCGGAUUUCGGCUUCUGCGUCAAGGCUGGCGAUAGGAUUAGGGUAGGAGAAGCCAUUGGCCGAUGGAGCCAAUCGUAG
rnacentral:rRNA from 1 species